ACUCUCCCGCUGGCUACUGCUCAUCAGGAGCAAGAUGGGGGUGGGGACUGUCCAAUGAUUCCUCUGUGUGAUAGAUGACCAAGUGGCUGCAGUCGUGGGGGUCUACACAGCAGUGCAAGAUUGUUUGUAGCUGAUUUGAUCAAACUCUGGUUUCCUGAACUGGAAUGAAAUGCAGAUAACUCGUUAGCAAACUUUUGUGGGAAAAAAGUGCCUUGUGCGAUCAGAACAAAGCCGUUUUAUAAUCAGAUUUACCAAGCUGAGAAGAGGGAGUUUCAGCAAAUGGAAGCUUCAGCUUUCUGUCACCAGGAAACACUGCGUUAUCCAGAAUCGGAAUUGUUAAAGCAUACUGACUUUACAACUGGAGACAAAAAUGGAACCUAAGAAAAUAAAAUCACUUGGGAAGGAUGUGAAUUCAUAUAUCUUUUCUCUUAAAGUUGUUUUGAAAAGUAAGUACUUGCCAUUCCUAAUUGUUUUUGUUUUGCUUUUUUUUUGUAAUCUGAUACUGAAAGCAUUGAUUUGUGCAUAAAGUAUAAAUAGUUACUGCCAUCUGGGAGUUUGCAUUUUAAGUGACAUGGCAUGGGUAAGAACAGACAUAAAACAUAUACACACCAUUAUAUAGACAACUAGACUAGAUCUAGCCUGACAACAAAUGGAGCUUGAUAUUCAUAGAUCUUACCUGAGUGGAUGUUAUUUCAUGAUAUCUGAACCCUUGUUCAAACUCUAUAUCAUCUGGCCUGACUAGCUAGUGAUGUAUUCCUGUAAACCUUUAUAUUCUUGUUUAGCAAGAGUCCCAUCUGCAUAAAAGAGUUACUUCUUUUGUCAUUUUGGUUUGGUUCAGCUGGGAGGGAUAGCAUCAUUGCUUCAGGCUGAAACGGACUAAUCUGUUUCACUUGUGGGUAAGGAGAAACGAAUACUUUGAGAACAGUGUGGCGUGGGGGAGAAAGGACACAAUUGCUGCCUUUCAUCCUUCCCUGCCCUGGCUCAGGAUCCCAGUGUGGAAAUGGGGAUGCUUAGGACUUAAUGAGCACCUUUAUUUCCUUGGAUGAGUUGCAUAGGGAACCAAGAGGAAGAUGAAGAAAUGGACAUGUAGGAAGUAGGGAAGUCCUAGGGGAGUGAAGAACCCGCUGCUUUCAAGCCCAGGUGUCAGCCCUUUAUUCUCCCUGGUGGCUGGGACAUGCUGUCCCACCCCUGCUUCCAUCCUAUGAAUCAAGUGACUGCUUAGAACUGAGCACCACUUUGCUGAGUAACUGAGGAGAGUGAGGAAUUCAAGAAUGGCCUUUUAAGGCACCAUUUUGUAUGAAUCAUCCUGCGUACAUCUCUCCACUGAAUCUACUUCUAGAAAUAGAGAUCUACCUUCUUGUCUUGAAGACAACAGCACACAUUGUCUGUAAGCAUUGUGUUGUGCUCACUCCUUCCUCCGAGGCCUAAUCUCCUGGCCUUGGUCCUUCUUGUAUGUUCCCUGAAAUUUCCCUCUCCUGCCAUGUAAAUCCAGACAACUUUCUGCCUGCAUUCUAUUUCUGCCUUUGAAUUGAGUCUCUUUGAAACAAUUGUGUGGUGGCUGGGUACUGCAAAAUGAGUCAGUUCCUACAGUUUGGUUACAAGUUCUCAAAAAGUAUUUCAGAAUGUGGAUGUGGUCAGCAGAGUCAUUUUCCAGGCAUCUAAAAGGAAACCCACAUCAACUGUAACAAUUGAGCUCUGACCGGAUGGUGCCAUACAACAGAACCAAGGCCUAUUUUCCCUUAGAGCAAUGCCUAGAACCAUACACGAAUUUAUCUGCUCCUAACACAUCUUCAGUGGAAAGUCUUGUUCUUGUUUGCAGGUCACAUUUUAUUUGCCACCAUUUGAAAAACAAUGUGACACAGGUUUUAACCUUAUUUACUUUUGGAUGUUGGUCUGAAUUUGAAAAAUUAUUAAUUAUUUUUGUAAACUAGAAUCAGUGAGACUAGAGUAUGAUUAGUAGAUGACUUGAAGUAUGACUUAUGGAUGAAAAGUGGGUAAUUUUUCUGAGGAAUAACCAAGGGGCACUUUUAGAUAUCAUGUAGUACAUAGGAUUACCUCAUUUCCUAAUUAUGUUCUGGAUCUUUCAGCGUUGGUCAUAUAAAUAAUUAAAUUCUUUUCAAGCUUUGAAGGUGUUUCAAGCUCAUCAACAACAGAAUAUUUUGGCUUAGCAUGGGCUUUAGAAAAAUCUUUUGUGGCUAUUUACUUACUUGUGUACCAUAAGUUCUGUAAAAUCUGAUUGAGCUGGUAUUCAACCAUUCAUGAAAGCUGAUGACAUUUUC
ensembl:processed_transcript predicted gene 14636